rnacentral:rRNA from 1 species
UGGGGAAUAUUGGACAAUGGGCGAAAGCCUGAUCCAGCCAUGCCGCGUGUGUGAAGAAGGUCUUCGGAUUGUAAAGCACUUUAAGUUGGGAGGAAGGGCAGUAAGCGAAUACCUUGCUGUUUUGACGUUACCGACAGAAUAAGCACCGGCUAACUCUGUGCCAGCAGCCGCGGUAAUACAGAGGGUGCAAGCGUUAAUCGGAAUUACUGGGCGUAAAGCGUGCGUAGGCGGCUAAUUGAGUCGGAUGUGAAAUCCCCGAGCUUAACUUGGGAAUUGCAUUCGAUACUGGUUAGCUAGAGUGUGGGAGAGGAUGGUAGAAUUCCAGGUGUAGCGGUGAAAUGCGUAGAGGUCUGGAGGAAUACCGAUGGCGAAGGCAGCCAUCUGGCCUAACACUGACGCUGAGGUACGAAAGCAUGGGGAGCAAACAGG